GUUGACCUCGGAUCAGGUAGGA
rnacentral:rRNA from 12 species